UACGUAGGUGGCAAGCGUUGUCCGGAUUUAUUGGGUUUAAAGGGUGCGUAGGCGGUUUUUUAAGUCAGUGGUGAAAUACUUCAGCUUAACUGGAGAGGUGCCAUUGAUACUGGGAAACUUGAGUACUGAUGAGGUAGGCGGAAUGGACGGUGUAGCGGUGAAAUGCUUAGAUAUCGGAAAGAACACCAACGGCGAAAGCACUCUGCUGGGCCGACACUGACACUGAGAGACGAAAGCUAGGGGAGCGAAUGGG
rnacentral:rRNA from 1 species